rnacentral:rRNA from 1 species
UGGGGAAUUUUGCGCAAUGGGCGAAAGCCUGACGCAGCAACGCCGCGUGAUCGAUGAAGCUUUUCGGAGUGUAAAGAUCUGUCGUGAGGGAAGAAUAACUUGGAUGCAAAUAGUUUUCAAGUCUGACGGUACCUUACAAGAAAGCACCGGCUAACUUCGUGCCAGCAGCCGCGGUAAUACGAGGGGUGCUAGCGUUGUCCGGAAUCAUUGGGCGUAAAGGGUCCGUAGGUGUCUUUGCAAGUCGUUUGUUACAUCCACCGGCUUAACCGGUGGCCUGCAAUCGAAACUGCAAGGAUAGAGUUCGAGAGAGGAAAGUGGAAUUCCUGGUGUAGCGGUGACAUGCGUAGAUAUCAGGAGGAACACCAAUGGCGAAGGCAGCUUUCUGGCUCGAUACUGACACUGAGGGACGAAAGCGUGGGGAGCGAACAGG